UACAGAGGGUGCGAGCGUUGUCCGGAAUCACUGGGCGUAAAGGGCGCGUAGGUGGCCUGGUAAGUAGGGGGUGAAAUCCUGUGGCUUAACUGCAGGACGGCCUCCUAGACUGUCAGGCUUGAGCAUGGUAGAGGCUGGUGGAAUUCCCGGUGUAGCGGUGGAAUGCGUAGAGAUCGGGAAGAACAUCAGUGGCGAAGGCGGUCUGCUGGGCCGUUGCUGACGCUGAGGCGCGACAGCGUGGGGAGCAAACAGG
rnacentral:rRNA from 1 species